ensembl:snoRNA small nucleolar RNA SNORA52
UGGCCCAUUCUAACUCCUCCUUGUCAGCCUAUGGCUUGCCAGGUUUUGCUUGUGGACCACAGCACCGUCGAAACUUGUCCCAGAUGAAUGAACAAGGCCUCUUGUGGGCUCAUGCUACAGGAACUUCUGGACACUU